rnacentral:rRNA from 1 species
UGGGGAAUAUUGCACAAUGGGCGCAAGCCUGAUGCAGCCAUGCCGCGUGUGUGAAGAAGGCCUUCGGGUUGUAAAGCACUUUCAGCGAGGAGGAAGGUGGUGGACUUAAUACGUUCAUCAAUUGACGUUACUCGCAGAAGAAGCACCGGCUAACUCCGUGCCAGCAGCCGCGGUAAUACGGAGGGUGCAAGCGUUAAUCGGAAUUACUGGGCGUAAAGCGCACGCAGGCGGUUUGUUAAGUCAGAUGUGAAAUCCCCGGGCUCAACCUGGGAACUGCAUUUGAAACUGGCAAGCUAGAGUCUCGUAGAGGGGGGUAGAAUUCCAGGUGUAGCGGUGAAAUGCGUAGAGAUCUGGAGGAAUACCGGUGGCGAAGGCGGCCCCCUGGACGAAGACUGACGCUCAGGUGCGAAAGCGUGGGGCAGCAAACAGGAUUAGAUACCCUGGUAGUCCACGCUGUAAACGAUGUCGAUUUGGAGGUUGUGCCCUUGAGGCGUGGCUUCCGGAGCUAACGCGUUAAAUCGACCGCCUGGGGAGUACGGCCGCAAGGUUAAAACUC